AAUGAGAUCCUACCAUUUAUCCCUGAGACCAUCCCCUGGGGGCCAGCCUAGAGACCUUGCUGCCCCUGGCCUCUCCCUGUCUUUCCCCUCCCUCUCCCACCCUGCCCUACCAGCAGGUCCCAACCGAGAGGGUCUUAGGAGCCGGGCGUUGAGAGGAGCCAUUACCAUCCAUCAGCUCCCACCAAGAGUUAAUGCUGUUAAGAUGCAGUGAGAGAGGUUCACUAAACUGCUGCUGCCCCCGGAAGGUGCAGAUGAGGCCUUAUCGUGGACAUCAGCUCCCUGAUGAAAAUGUGUUCCAAUGGCACAGGCCAGAAGGGGCUAACUGGCCUGACAGGCAGCUCUGCAGAAAGCAAACUCAAAGCAAGACCAGGACUCAGGAUCUGGCGACCUCGCCAAAGAAGGUUGACAAGCCAGUCAUGCUUUUGAUCGGCCAAUCCCCAAGCCUGACAUCGUUUUAUCUUCUAACUGACAAAUAUUUUAGGGGGAACAGACUGUAUCAGUCAUCUACUUAUCAAAGUAGAGCGCUUUUAAUUGAAAUUUUAAAAGCACUUUUUUUCAAGCUAAUGGACAUUGUAAGUUAUGCAGUACCAACGGCGCUGCAAUGGAAGUAGA